UACGUAGGGUGCAAGCGUUGUCCGGAAUUAUUGGGCGUAAAGAGCUCGUAGGCGGUCUGUCGCGUCGGAUGUGAAAACCCAGGGCUCAACCCUGGGCCUGCAUUCGAUACGGGCAGACUAGAGUUCGGUAGGGGAGACUGGAAUUCCUGGUGUAGCGGUGAGAUGCGCAGAUAUCAGGAGGAACACCGAUGGCGAAGGCAGCUCACUGGGACGGUACUGACGCUGAGGAGCGAAAGCAUGGGGAGCGAACAGG
rnacentral:rRNA from 1 species